rnacentral:rRNA from 1 species
UACAGAGGUCCCAAGCGUUGUUCGGAUUCAUUGGGCGUAAAGGGUGCGUAGGGGGUCUGUUAUGUCGGAUGUGAAAGCCCUCGGCUCAACUGAGGAAGUGCAUCCGAAACUGGCAGGCUUGAGUAUGUAAGAGGGUCGCGGAAUUCCCGGCGUAGAGGUGAAAUUCGUAGAUAUCGGGAGGAACACCGGUGGCGAAGGCGGCGACCUGGGACAAUACUGACACUGAGGUGCGAAAGCGUGGGGAGCAAACAGG